GAGUUUGAUCCUGGCUCAGGAUGAACGCUAGCUACAGGCUUAACACAUGCAAGUCGAGGGGUAGCAGGGUAGCAAUACCGCUGACGACCGGCGCACGGGUGAGUAACACGUAUCCAACCUUCCCACAACUCAGGGAUAGCCUUUCGAAAGAAAGAUUAAUACCUGAUAGUACUUUUUUAAGGCAUCUUAAGAAAGUUAAAGAUUUAUCGGUUAUGGAUGGGGAUGCGUUCCAUUAGAUAGUUGGUGAGGUAACGGCUCACCAAGUCUUCGAUGGAUAGGGGUUCUGAGAGGAAGGUCCCCCACAUUGGUACUGAGACACGGACCAAACUCCUACGGGAGGCAGCAGUGAGGAAUAUUGGUCAAUGGGCGAGAGCCUGAACCAGCCAAGUAGCGUGAAGGAUGAAGGUCCUAUGGAUUGUAAACUUCUUUUAUAGUAGAAUAAAGUGACCUACGUGUAGGUUUUUGUAUGUAUACUAUGAAUAAGGAUCGGCUAACUCCGUGCCAGCAGCCGCGGUAAUACGGAGGAUCCGAGCGUUAUCCGGAUUUAUUGGGUUUAAAGGGUGCGUAGGCGGAAUAAUAAGUCAGUUGUGAAAGUUUGCGGCUCAACCGUAAAAUUGCAGUUGAUACUGUUAUUCUUGAGUGUACAUAAGGUAGGCGGAAUUCGUGGUGUAGCGGUGAAAUGCUUAGAUAUCACGAA
rnacentral:rRNA from 1 species